rnacentral:rRNA from 1 species
UAGGGAAUCUUCCUGCAAUGGGCGAAAGCCUGACGGAGCAACGCCGCGUGAGUGAAGAAGGAUUUCGGUUCGUAAAGCUCUGUUGUUAGGGAAGAAUGAUUGUGUAGUAACUAUACACAGUAGAGACGGUACCUAACCAGAAAGCCACGGCUAACUACGUGCCAGCAGCCGCGGUAAUACGUAGGUGGCAAGCGUUGUCCGGAAUUAUUGGGCGUAAAGCGCGCGCAGGUGGUUUAAUAAGUCUGAUGUGAAAGCCCACGGCUCAACCGUGGAGGGUCAUUGGAAACUGUUAAACUUGAGUGCAGGAGAGAAAAGUGGAAUUCCUAGUGUAGCGGUGAAAUGCGUAGAGAUUAGGAGGAACACCAGUGGCGAAGGCGGCUUUUUGGCCUGUAACUGACACUGAGGCGCGAAAGCGUGGGGAGCAAACAGGAUUAGAUACCCUGGUAGUCCACGCCGUAAACGAUGAGUGCUAAGUGUUGGAUCCUUUCCGGGAUUCAGUGCCGCAGCUAACGCAUUAAGCACUCCGCCUGGGGAGUACGACCGCAAGGUUG